rnacentral:rRNA from 1 species
CAAGUCGAACGCGAAAGAGACCUUCGGGUCUCAAGUAGAGUGGCGCCCGGGUGAGUAACACGUAGGUAAUCUACCUUCGGGUGGGGAAUAACGCAGGGAAACUUGCGCUAAUACCGCAUAAUGCAGCGGCACCACAUGGUGACAGUUGUUAAAGCGGGGGAUUUUAGGACCUCGCGCCUGAAGAGGAGCCUGCGGCAGAUUAGCUAGUUGGUAGGGUAACGGCUUACCAAGGCGACGAUCUGUAGCCGGCCUGAGAGGGCGGUCGGCCACACUGACACUGACAUACGGGUCAGACUCCUACGGGAGGCAGCAGUCGGGAAUUUUGGGCAAUGGGCGAAAGCCUGACCCAGCAACGCCGCGUGAAGGAUGAAAUCCUUCGGGAUGUAAACUUCGCAAGAAUGGGAAGAAUUAGCGAGCGCUAACACCGUUCGUGAUGACGGUACCAUUUGUAAGCUCCGGCUAACUCCGUGCCAGCAGCCGCGGUAAUACGGGGGGAGCAAGCGUUGUUCGGAUUUACUGGGCGUAAAGGGCGCGUAGGCGGCCAGCGCAAGUCAGUCGUGAAAUCUCCGGGCUUAACUCGGAAAGGUCAACUGAUACUGCGCGGCUAGAGUGCGGAAGGGGCAACUGGAAUUCUCGGUGUAGCGGUGAAAUGCGUAGAUAUCGAGAGGAACACCUGCGGCGAAGGCGGGUUGCUGGGCCGACACUGACGCUGAUGCGCGAAAGCCAGGGGAGCGAACGGGAUUAGAUACCCCGGUAGUCCUGGCCUUAAACGAUGGAUGCUUGGUGUCUGGAGUUUAUAGUCUCCGGGUGCCGCAGCUAACGCGUUAAGCAUCCCGC